CAGUCGCCGCGGGAAUACGUAGGGUGCGAGCGUUAAUCGGAAUUACUGGGCGUAAAGCGAGCGCAGACGGUUAUUUAAGCAGGAUGUGAAAUCCCCGGGCUUAACCUGGGAACUGCGUUCUGAACUGGAUAGCUAGAGUGUGUCAGAGGGGGGUAGAAUUCCACGUGUAGCAGUGAAAUGCGUAGAGAUGUGGAGGAAUACCGAUGGCGAAGGCAGCCCCCUGGGAUAACACUGACGUUCAUGCUCGAAAGCGUGGGUAGCAAACAGGAUUAGAUACCCGCGUAGUCCCUGUCUCUUAUAC
rnacentral:rRNA from 1 species